GACAGAGAUGCCAAGCGUUGUUCGGAAUCACUGGGCAUAAAGGGCGCGUAGGCGGCCACGUAAGUCAGGGGUGAAAGCCCCCGGCUCAACCGGGGAAUUGCCUUUGAUACUGCGUGGCUUGAGGUCGGAAGGGGAAAGUGGAAUUCCUGGUGUAGCGGUGAAAUGCGUUGAUAUCAGGAGGAACGCCGGCGGCGAAAGCGACUUUCUGGUCCGACUCUGACGCUGAUGCGCGAAAGCUAGGGGAGCAAACGGG
rnacentral:rRNA from 1 species